rnacentral:rRNA from 1 species
GCCCGCUCAGAACCUCAAAGGAAUUGACGGGGCCGCACAAGCGGUGGAGUAUGUGGUUUAAUUCGAUGCAACGCGAAGAACCUUACCUGGUCUUGACAUCCCGGAGACCCUUAGGAAACUAGGGGGUGCUUCCAUCUGGAAGAAUCUGGAGACAGGUGCUGCAUGGCUGUCGUCAGCUCGUGUCGUGAGAUGUUGGGUUAAGUCCCGCAACGAGCGCAACCCUUGCCUUUAGUUGCCAGCAGUUCGGCUGGGCACUCUAAAGGGACUGCCGGUGUUAAACCGGAGGAAGGUGGGGAUGACGUCAAGUCCUCAUGGCCUUUAUGACCAGGGCUACACACGUACUACAAUGGCCGAUACAAAGGGCAGCGACACUGCGAGGUGAAGCCAAUCCCGUAAAAUCGGUCUCAGUCCGGAUUGGAGUCUGCAACUCGACUCCAUGAAGUUGGAAUCGCUAGUAAUCGUGGAUCAGCAUGCCACGGUGAAUACGUUCCCGGGCCUU